rnacentral:rRNA from 1 species
CCGCGAGAUGCUCCCAUCUAAGGAGGCAGCAGGCACGCAAAUUACCCAAUCUCGAAGAUGGAGGUAGUGACGAAAAAUAACAAUACAAGACUCGUCCGAGGCCUUGUAAUUGGAAUGAGUAUACUUUAAAACCGUUCCCGGGGAUCUAUUGGAGGGCAAGUCUGGUGCCAGCAGCCGCGGUAAUUCCAGCUCCAAUAGCGUAUCUUAAAGUUGUUGUGGUUAAAAAGCUCGUAGUUGGAUUUCGGCAGGCACAGGUUGGUUUGAAUCGCUUCAACACUGACUUUUUUGCCUGUGUGUUUUGCCAGAGUUUGACAGGUGAUCUUAAUCGAUUGUCCGUUGGAGCUGGCAGGUUUACUUUGAAAAAAUUAGAGUGCUCAAAGCAAGCUUGAUUGCUUGAAUAUUCGUGCAUGGAAUAAUAGAAUAGGAAGUCGUUCCUAUUUUGUUGGUUUUCGGAGAUUGACUUAAUGAUUAAUAGGGAUAGUCGGGGGCAUUUGUAUUCAAACGACAGAGGUGAAAUUCUUGGACCGUUUGAAGACAAACUACUGCGAAAGCAUUUGCCAAGAAUGUUUUCAUUAAUCAAGAACGAAAGUUAGAGGUUCGAAGGCGAUUAGAUACCGCCCUAGUUCUAACCAUAAACGAUGCCAGCUAGCGAUCUGCCGGCGUUUUUUUUCUGACUUGGCAGGGAGCUUCCGGGAAACCAAAGCUUGCGGGUUCCAGGGGAAGUAUGGUUGCAAAGCUGAAACUUAAAGGAAUUGACGGAAGGGCACCACCAGGGGUGGAGCCUGUGGCUUAAUUUUGACUCAGCACGGGAAAUCUCACCAGGCCCGGACACCAGAGGAUUGACAGAUUGAUAGCUCUUUCUUGAUUUGAUGGGUGCUGGUGCAUGGCCGUUCUUAGUUGUGGAAGUGAUUUGUCUGGUUAAUUCCGAUAACGAACGAGACUCUGUCCUGCUAAAUAGAUCCAGCCCUUUCUUUGGGUGACUUUUCUUCUUAGAGGACUGGCGAUAUUAGUCGACCGAGAUUGAACAUACAGUCUGUGAUGGCCUAGAAUCUGGGCCGCACACGCGCUUACCUGAAUGGAUCAGCUAGUUUUCUUUGCCGAACAUCGGUAUCUGCUGAACCAUCCGGGUAGAUAAAGCUGCAAUGUUCUUAUGACGAAUCCAAUAGGGCGUGUACCUAUCCAUA